rnacentral:rRNA from 1 species
GACGAACGCUGGCGGCGUGCUUAACACAUGCAAGUCGAGCGGGGAACUUCGGUUCCCAGCGGCGGACGGGUGAGUAACACGUGGGUAACCUGCCUUACAGUGGGGAAUAGCCUUCCGAAAGGAAGAUUAAUACCGCAUAAUACUCAGAGAUCACAUGAUCUUUGAGCCUAAGGAUUUAUUCGCUGUAAGAUGGACCCGCGGCGCAUUAGCUUGUUGGUGAGGUAACGGCUCACCAAGGCUUCGAUGCGUAGCCGACCUGAGAGGGUGAUCGGCAACAUUGGAACUGGGACACGGUCCAGACUCCUACGGGGGGCAGCAGUGGGGAAUAUUGCACAAUGGAGGAAACUCUGAUGCAGCAACGCCGCGUGAGUGAUGAAGGUCUUCGGAUCGUAAAACUCUGUCUUAUGGGACGAUAUGACGGUACCAUAGGAGGAAGCCACGGCUAACUACGUGCCAGCCGCCGCGGUAA